UACGUAGGGGGCAAGCGUUGUCCGGAUUUAUUGGGCGUAAAGAGCGUGUAGGCGGCUGGGUAGGUCCGUUGUGAAAACUCGAGGCUCAACCUCGAGACGCCGAUGGAAACCCCCCAGCUAGAGUCCGGAAGAGGAGAGUGGAAUUCCUGGUGUAGCGGUGAAAUGCGCAGAUAUCAGGAGGAACACCAGCGGCGAAGGCGGCGCUCUGGGCCGGUACUGACACUGAGGAGCGAAAGCGUGGGUAGCAAACAGG
rnacentral:rRNA from 1 species